rnacentral:rRNA from 1 species
UACGGAAGGAGCAGUGGGGAAUAUUGCACAAUGGGCGCAAGCCUGAUGCAGCCAUGCCGCGUGUAUGAAGAAGGCCUUCGGGUUGUAAAGUACUUUCAGUCGUGAGGAAGGUGUUAAGGUUAAUAACCUUAGCAAUUGACGUUAGCGACAGAAGAAGCACCGGCUAACUCCGUGCCAGCAGCCGCGGUAAUACGGAGGGUGCGAGCGUUAAUCGGAAUUACUGGGCGUAAAGGGCACGCAGGCGGUUAAUUAAGUUGGAUGUGAAAUCCCCGGGCUUAACCUGGGAAUGGCAUUCAAGACUGGUUAGCUAGAGUCUUGUAGAGGGGGUAGAAUUCCAUGUGUAGCGGUGAAAUGCGUAGAGAUGUGGAGGAAUACCGGUGGCGAAGGCGGCCCCUGGACAAAGACUGACGCUCAUGUGCGAAAGCGUGGGGAGCAAACAGGGAUUAGAUACCC